AAAGGAAUUGACGGGGGCCCGCACAAGCGGUGGAGCAUGUGGUUUAAUUCGAAGCAACGCGAAGAACCUUACCAGGUCUUGACAUCUUCUGACAACCCUAGAGAUAGGGCUUCUCCUUCGGGAGCAGAGUGACAGGUGGUGCAUGGUUGUCGUCAGCUCGUGUCGUGAGAUGUUGGGUUAAGUCCCGCAACGAGCGCAACCCUUGAUCUUAGUUGCCAUCAUUAAGUUGGGCACUUUAAGGUGACUGCCGGUGACAAACCGGAGGAAGGUGGGGAUGACGUCAAAUCAUCAUGCCCCUUAUGACCUGGGCUACACACGUGCUACAAUGGACGGUACAAAGAGCUGCAAGACCGCGAGGUGGAGCUAAUCUCAUAAAACCGUUCUCAGUUCGGAUUGUAGGCUGCAACUCGCCUACAUGAAGCUGGAAUCGCUAGUAAUCGCGGAU
rnacentral:rRNA from 1 species